CACCCGCGCCACGAGUGGCAACCAGUAUUAUUGGGCCUAAAGCGUCCGUAGCAGGUCAAGUAAAUCUCAUGUGAAAUUGUUAAGCUCAACUUAACAACGUGCAAGAGACACUGCAUGACUUGGGACCGGGAGGAGUCAGAGGUAUUCCAUGGGGAGCGGUAAAAUGCUAUAAUCCAUGGAGGACCACCUAUGGCGAAGGCAUCUGACCAGAACGGAUCCGACUGUGAGGGACGAAAGCCAGGGGAGCGAACCGGAUUAGAUACGAGAAAUCAUACUGAUUUCUGGAAUUAGCUCAGAAAGAAUCGUUACAUCUACUGAAGUACGAGCUAAGGAAAGAAACGUAAAAUGAUGAUUUCCUCGCUAAUUACCCGAGUAGUCCUGGCUGUAAACGCUGCGAGCUAGGUGUUGCGCAAUCUUCGAGAUUGUGCAGUAUCGGAGCGAAGGUGUUAAGCUCGCCGCCUGGGAAGUACGGUCGCAAGGCUGAAACUUAAAGGAAUUGGCGGGGGAGCACUACAAGGGGUGCGGCGUGCGGUUUAAUCUAACUCCACUCAGAGAAUCUCACCAGGAGCGACGGCACGAUGAAGGUCAGAUUAAAGGUUUUACCUGAGGAGCCGAGAGGUGGUGCAUGGCCGCCGUCAGCUCGUGCCGUAAGGUGUCCAUUUAAGUAUGGUAACGAGCGAGACCUAUGCCUACAAUUGCUAGCGGGCCCUUUUGGGUGACUGCGCACAUUGUAGGGACUGCCGUGGUAACGCGGAGGAAGGUGUAGGCUACGGUAGGUCUGUAUGCCCCGAAUCUUCUGGGCUACACGCGCGCAACAAUGGCAGAUACAAUGGGAUACAACCGCGAAAGCGGAAGUUAAGCCUCGAAAGUCUGUCCAAGUCCAGAUUGAGGGUUGUAACCCACCCUCAUGACGAUGGAAUCCCUAGUAAUCGGGUGUUAUCAGCGCCCGGUGAAUACGUCCCUGCUCCU
rnacentral:rRNA from 1 species